GGUUUUUAUUCAUUAUUACAGGAUGUUAGUUAUAAGUUAACAGGUUUCUAAGAGAUUUUUAUUUACUAUCAUGAGAUGUUACUUUAACAGCUUUUAAGAGAUUUUUAUUUAUUAUCACAAGGUGUUAGUUUAGACAGAGUGGGGCAAGGAAUGGCAAUUUCAGAAGGCUAACACUACCUCGAGAUACAGUACUAGCGUCUGACCCUAAGCAACCCCACGCUCUCGUCUCCACAGUACUGAGAUUCCAUUCAGACCAUUAGGUUCUGCAGACAUAAACUCUUUCCAGAAAAAAAAUUGUUGUUGUUAACAACCAGACACAGUUACGUUUUAGGAAUUUUAAUUCACAAAUAGCUCAUGUCAAAUAUCAUGACUAGUGGUUUUCUUAAGCACAGAGGGUGAAGCUCAGCAGGAAAAACACGGAAAAGAAGAUGAAAGAGAAGGAAGGGUACCUUUCAUUCUGGAGAAGUCACAAUAUCCCUUGUAAUCUCGAGGAGGCUUUAGCACCUCACCAGCAAGCCCUUCCCAUGAGUCCACCUCCAGGCAUGCCUUCCAAGCAGCUGAUAGAAACAGUGCAUUUCUACUAAAUAUGUUCCAGGUGUUGGUCUGGUGUUUGCUACCGAUGAGAUUAUUGACAUAUCAGUUCAUCAGUUCUAUUGAGCCUUUUUUUAAAGAUACAUAAAUGUUAUUGAAAGGGGUUGCAUAUCUCUUCCUGUCUUGACUUCCCACAUAAUCAGUGAAUUAAAAGCACCUCCUCCUCAAAUGGCUUUUGGUGGUGGUUUAAUCCCAGCAACAGGAAUGCAGCUUGGAUAUCUGAAGCCUGCCAUUCUUUGAUGAAGAUCUACAAUGAAAAGAAGCAAGCUGAGCAAGGCAAAAUACAGAAUGUAAAGGGGCACCAGGAAGGAGAAUGGAGCUAAGUCCUGUAUUCAAAGAGGUAGCAUAUCAAGUCUGAGUUGAGAAAUUCCCUUACAGAAGAAGCAAUGACCUGGCUGCAGUCACCUGAGUCAUGAGGUUCUGGAGAAGAGAACAGCAUUUACUCAAUGGACUGAAGAGAAAGGGGAUUUCCUUCAUGCCUAACUCUUGAAUCAGCUAGUGUUUGCUUAAGAUGAUGUAUGAGACAUGCACAAUUGUGUAGGCAAAAAGAAAACAGAAAUCAAACAAUAAAAUUUUCAAACAA